AAAAAUAGUGACUGCCUCAAGCAAGAAGCAGCUGUUGGUAAAAUAAUCGUAACUUGAGUUUCAGACAUUGGAUCGAGGUGAUUCAAGUUGGAUUGGAACGACAAGGAACGUUUCUACAACUUUCAUGUUUUAGAAGAAGUCAAAUUCGUAUCACAAUGCAGCCAAAAUUAUCGUGAAAAGUCCAGCUUGAUACCUGCCGGAUACAGCUUUACCUGUGAAGCAGCACUUAUUGUUUU
rnacentral:lncRNA from 1 species